UCCAAAGUCCUUUUCCAGAACACUGGAAUCAUAUAGUAUGUAGUCUUUUCAGAUUGGCUUCUUUCGCUUCAGAUUGUAUUUUGAAACACAAACUUACUUUGGGUUCACUGUGGAGAACAAAUAGAGGAUCGUUAAGGGGUCUGCAAACCUCCUCCGGGUGGCAACCUGACACUGUGAUGCGUCUCCCCCCAACGAUGAGCGCUAUGAGGAGAACCCUCUUCAGCUUUAGCACAGUAACUGCCAUGGAGUAGGCAUGUAAUACAUUUCUUGACCGAUUCAAUACAUGAACGGUUGAGUGAAUAAGCACAUGUAAGAAAAAUAUAACCGUCUUCUUUGUUCAGGAGAAAGCUCUGAAACUUGUAGAACUGAGUGAAUCAUACUGGUGGGAAUGGAAUGGCUCCUUUUGGGUUAGUUCAUCCAACAUGAAAUCUGUUGCUACAGGUUUUCGGAUGACUCUGAAGCAACCUCUAUGGAGAAUACUUUAGCAGCAAUAUAAUUUUUUAUCAAUCUGAACAACUGUGAUAGAAGGGGCAAAGGUAUAGCAAGUUCAGCGUCUUAACUGCAAGAAUUGUACCACAGAUAAGAAAAAAAGUUCACUGCUUUUUAUUCGUAUUUCUCCUAUUUUUUGUUCUAGGGUAAGAAAUAUGAAUGUCACCCAACAUGUGGGAAUAAAAGUGACAUAAAUUGUGUAAAUGCA